ACGAACGCUGGCGGCAUGCCUAACACAUGCAAGUCGAACGAGACCUUCGGGUCUAGUGGCGCACGGGUGCGUAACGCGUGGGAACCUGCCCUUAGGUUCGGAAUAACUCCCCGAAAGGGGUGCUAAUACCGGAUAAUGUCUUCGGACCAAAGAUUUAUCGCCUUUGGAUGGGCCCGCGUUGGAUUAGCUAGUUGGUAGGGUAAAAGCCUACCAAGGCGACGAUCCAUAGCUGGUCUGAGAGGAUGAUCAGCCACACUGGGACUGAGACACGGCCCAGACUCCUACGGGAGGCAGCAGUGGGGAAUAUUGGACAAUGGGCGAAGGCCUGAUCCAGCAAUGCCGCGUGAGUGAUGAAGGCCUUAGGGUUGUAAAGCUCUUUUACCCGGGAUGAUAAUGACAGUACCGGGAGAAUAAGCUCCGGCUAACUCCGUG
rnacentral:rRNA from 1 species